rnacentral:rRNA from 1 species
GAUGAACGCUGGCGGCGUGCUUAACACAUGCAAGUCGAACGGAGAUUAUUAAAGGAAGUUUUCGGAUGGAAUUUAAUGAUCUUAGUGGCGGACGGGUGAGUAACGCGUGGGUAACCUGCCUCAUACAGGGGGAUAACACUUAGAAAUAGGUGCUAAAACCGCAUAAGCGCACAGUAUCGCAUGAUACAGUGUGAAAAACUCCGGUGGUAUGAGAUGGACCCGCGUCUGAUUGGCUAGUUGGUGAGGUAACGGCCCACCAAGGCGACGAUCAGUAGCCGGCCUGAGAGGUGAACGGCCACAUUGGGACUGAGACACGGUCCAGACUCCUACGGGAGGCAGCAGUGAGGAAUAUUGGCAAUGGUCUGACGACUGAACCAGCCAUGCCGCGUG